UACAGAGGGGGCGAGCGUUGUUCGGAAUUACUGGGCGUAAAGGGCGCGUAGGUGGCCUGCUAUGUCGAACGUGAAAUCCCUGGGCUCAACCCAGGAACUGCGUCCGAAACUGGCAGGCUCGAAUCCGGGAGAGGGAUGUGGAAUUCCAGGUGUAGCGGUGAAAUGCGUAGAUAUCAGGAGGAACACCAGUGGCGAAAGCGGCUCACUGGCCCGAUACUGACGCUCAUGUACGAAAGCGCGGGGAGCAAACAGG
rnacentral:rRNA from 1 species